AUGGUUGUUCAGAAACCCGUGUUCAAGCCCUGCAGGUUUAUGAUGACAUUUUACAAGCUCAAGUGUGCCGAGAACGAAAUUUCUAUCGAGACACCAUUUGCUCCGCUGGACUUUGAGCAGAUUGCCUCAGACAUCCACUUCCGACCAGAAAUAGUAGAGCAGUGCAUCCAUGAGACCCUGCUUCUCUUCGCUGGUGCCCUCCUGGACAAAAAGGAUGUGGAAUUCUUCUUCAAGGGUAUCGGGAUUCUUACUGUGCGAAGAAAAGUGGUCACCAUGAACUUCUACACUGAGUUCCUGCUGGAGGUGGAUGACACAGACAACAUGUAUGAAGCUCUUCUCACGGACUCCAAGAUGACGGAUAUGAUUGCAUCUGACGGCAAAAAUAAAUAUACUCGUAUCAGUGGAAAUAGUUUCAUCACACUACCAACGCUUAUACUUCAGGACCCGCACUGCAAUCCGAUUUCCAUCAAGCCCAAAAGAGAUCCGCAGCCUUGGGGCAAGGGUGGCCGAAGAGUGAGUGUGCUGGACCCGGUGGUGCUGGCUCGGAGGAGGGUUUCUCUAGCCAAGAUGGCAGAGAAGAAAACCAAGGAGGAUAAAAACAAGCAAGGUGACCAAGCCAGGUGA
rnacentral:lncRNA from 1 species